rnacentral:lncRNA from 1 species
CGGCCGUGCAUUCCGGCAGUUUGGCCGGGAUUUUGGCUCCGAUUUGGCCACAGGAGGAAUCAGCGUGGAAAAACGAGUCGGAGGUACGAAAUUUACCUUGAUCGGCGGUCGGAAGUUCCUCCGGUGCGGCGGCGGGUGGCGGCGGCCGGCUUCUGGUUCGUCUUCUCCGGCGAGUGGCAGGCGGCUAGGGUUUGUGGUCUGGUGUGGGGGUUCUAUUUAUAACCUCUUGCCUUUUGAUCUCAGCCGUCCAUUUUGUUUUAAUUUGGACCGUCCGUUUUUGAUUAAAUCUGGGCCGUCCGUGCGUUUAAAUCUGGGCCGUCCGAUCG